AAUGAAGGAGGGUCCAGAAGGUCUCUUAAGCAGGGGCAAAGUGUAACUACUCAUUUUCAACCAUACCACUUAGUUUUUCUUCUGAGAAGUAGAAAUGGGCUUUGAGAUCAGUGGCUCUGGGCCGAACACAUGCCUGAUGUAAUUCUACUGAAAUCCAUGACUGAAUGCAAUCCAGCAACACAUUUGGCUUAACUGCUUUUCGUGGCUUAUGGAUGGUGGAAAGGUAUACUGACAGGUGUCUAAGAAACUGCAAGUUUAUUAGACAUCAGUUCGAAAUGGAGAGAGAAGGCCAAAUUCUGCUCUCAGUUACAGUGGAGUAAGCCUGGGGUACAGAAACUUCAGUGAAGUCAAGAGAUUGAUGAUGAGAAAAUCUGAUCAGUUUUACCAGUGCUGUUCAGAAUUUUGCAGUGGA